rnacentral:misc_RNA from 1 species
GAUGAAGAACGCAGUGAAAUGCGAUACGUAAUGUGAAUUGCAGAAUUCAGUGAAUCAUCGAAUCUUUGAACGCACAUUGCGCCCGCCAGCACUCUGGCGGGCAUGCCUGUUCGAGCGUCAUUUCAACCAUCAAGCCCCAGGCUUGCGUUGGAGCCCUGCGGCUGCCGCAGCCUCCUAAAAGCAGUGGCGGGCUCGCUAUCACACCGAGUGCAGUAGAUUACUCAUCGCUCAGGGCGUGCAGCGGGUUCCGGCCGUGAAACCCCCUACUUUUAAAGGUUGACCUCGGAUCAGGUAGGAAUACCCGCUGAACUUAAGCAUAUCAAUAAGCGGAGGA